rnacentral:rRNA from 1 species
UGCCAGCAGCCGCGGUAAUACGGAGGGUGCAAGCGUUGUUCGGAAUCAUUGGGCGUAAAGCGGGCGUAGGCGGUCCGGCAAGUCGGGUGUGAAAGCCCAGGGCUCAACCCUGGAACUGCACUCGAAACUGCCGAACUAGAGUCCCGGAGAGGGUGGCGGAAUUCCCGGUGUAGAGGUGAAAUUCGUAGAUAUCGGGAGGAACACCAGUGGCGAAGGCGGCCACCUGGACGGUGACUGACGCUCAGGUCCGAAAGCGUGGGGAGCAAACAGGAUUAGAUA